rnacentral:rRNA from 1 species
CGCGUAGGCGGACAUUUAAGUCGGGGGUGAAAGCCCAGGGCUCAACCCUGGAAUUGCCUCCGAUACUGGGUGUCUAGAGACCGGAAGAGGUGAGUGGAACUGCGAGUGUAGAGGUGAAAUUCGUAGAUAUUCGCAAGAACACCAGUGGCGAAGGCGGCUCACUGGUCCGGAUCUGACGCUGAGGCGCGAAAGCGUGGGGAGCAAACA